rnacentral:tRNA from 1 species
CAGCGUGUAGCUCAGUCAGUAGAGCGCCGGGCUCAAAACCCGUAGGGCGCGGGGGCGGAACCCGCCACGCUGGCCA